UUGGACCUGAUAUCAGCAAGAUUACCCGCUGAACUUAA
rnacentral:rRNA from 1 species